UACGUAGGUGGCAAGCGUUAUCCGGAAUUAUUGGGCGUAAAGCGCGCGCAGGCGGUUUCUUAAGUCUGAUGUGAAAGCCCACGGCUCAACCGUGGAGGGUCAUUGGGAAACUGGGGAACUUGAGUGCAGAAGAGAAAAGCGGAAUUCCACGUGUAGCGGAUGGAAAUGCGUAGAGAUGUGGAGGAACACCAGUGGCGAAGGCGGCUUUUUGGUCU
rnacentral:rRNA from 1 species